rnacentral:misc_RNA from 1 species
AACGCACCUUGCGCUCUUUGGUAUUCCAAAGAGCAUGCCUGUUUGAGUGUCGCUUAAUUCUCAAAAAGAAGAAAAAUUUGAUGUCGAGUCGAGUUCUUUUUCUGUUUGGAUUUUGGAGGGUUUGAGUGCCGGGAUCUCUCGAGAUCGGCUCCUCCGAAAAGCAUCGGCAACAAAGUGGAGUUGAAUGGGCUUUGGUUUGAUAAUUAUCUAUGCCAUUGCCGUUGAAUGCUCUCGUGUUGCUUGCAGUUGUUGUCCUUGGGAGACAAAAUUUGAUUCAUUUGACCUCAAAUCAGGUAGGACUACCCGCUGAACUUAA